rnacentral:rRNA from 1 species
GAAACGGGUGGUAAUGCCGGAUGCUCCGACUCCUCGCAUGGGGUGUCGGGAAAGAUUUCAUCGGUAUGGGAUGGGGUCGCGUCCUAUCAGGUAGUCGGCGGGGUAACGGCCCACCGAGCCUACGACGGGUAGCCGGCCUGAGAGGGCGACCGGCCACAUUGGGACUGAGAUACGGCCCAGACUCCUACGGGAGGCAGCAGUGGGGAAUAUUGCACAAUGGGCGCAAGCCUGAUGCAGCGACGCCGCGUGCGGGAUGACGGCCUUCGGGUUGUAAACCGCUUUUGAUCGGGAGCAAGCCUUCGGGUGAGUGUACCUUUCGAAUAAGCACCGGCUAACUACGUGCCAGCAGCCGCGGUAAUACGUAGGGUGCAAGCGUUAUCCGGAAUUAUUGGGCGUAAAGGGCUCGUAGGCGGUUCGUCGCGUCCGGUGUGAAAGUCCAUCGCUUAACGGUGGAUCUGCGCCGGGUACGGGCGGGCUGGAGUGCGGUAGGGGAGACUGGAAUUCCCGGUGUAACGGUGGAAUGUGUA